rnacentral:rRNA from 1 species
UACGUAGGGGGCAAGCGUUGUCCGGAUUUAUUGGGCGUAAAGAGCGUGUAGGCGGCCUGACAGGUCUGCUGUGAAAACUCGAGGCUCAACCUCGAGAUGUCGGCGGAAACCGUCUGGCUAGAGUCCGGAAGAGGAGAGUGGAAUUCCUGGUGUAGCGGUGAAAUGCGCAGAUAUCAGGAAGAACACCUAUGGCGAAGGCAGCUCUCUGGGACGGUACUGACGCUGAGACGCGAAAGCGUGGGGAGCGAA